rnacentral:rRNA from 1 species
AUGAUUAGGCUGCUAUGCACGGUGGACAAUGGAUGGUACAUAACGGAGCAUCGAGUGAAGCACAAUCACAUCCUGACACCAAUAUGCAGGGAGAUGAUGCAUUGGCCAUCUCACAAGCACAUUGAUGUGUACACAAGGGACCUAAUUAGUAAUUCGAGGAAGAAUAACAUCAACAUUGGUAAGGUGUACAACAUUAUUAGAGAGUUCUUCGGAGCAGUGGAGAAAGUGCCACUCACGAAACGGUCUCUAUGGAAUCUCUGUGGGCAAAUAAGUAGAUUCGAAGCUGAUGAUGAUGUCAAGAAGACCAUUUGA